rnacentral:rRNA from 1 species
AUUGAACGCUGGCGGCAGGCCUAACACAUGCAAGUCGAACGAGUGGCGGACGGGUGAGUAAUGUCUGGGAAACUGCCUGAUGGAGGGGGAUAACUACUGGAAACGGUAGCUAAUACCGCAUACCAUCGGAUGUGCCCAGAUGGGAUUAGCUCGUAGGUGGGGUAACGGCUCACCUAGGCGACGAUCCCUAGCUGGUCUGAGAGGAUGACCGGCCACACGGGAACUGGGCAACGGGCCAGACUCCUACGGGAGGAAGCAGUGGGGAAUAUUGCACAAUGGGCGCAAGCCGGAUACAGCCAUGCCGCGUGUGUGAAGAAGGCCUUCGGGUUGUAAAGCACUUUCAGCGGGGAGGCGUUACCCGCAGAAGAAGCACCGGCUAACUCCGUGCCAGCAGCCGCGGUAAUAC